rnacentral:rRNA from 1 species
UACGGAGGGAGCAAGCGUUACCCGGAAUCACUGGGCGUAAAGGGCGUGUAGGCGGGAUUCUAAGUCUGGCGUUGAAGACUGGAGCUCAACUCCGGAAGUGGGUUGGAGACUGGCAUUCUGGACCUCUGGAGAGAGGACUGGAAUUCCUGGUGUAGCGGUGGAAUUCGUAGAUACCAGGAGGAACACCAGCGGCGAAGGCAGGUUCUUGGACAGAAGGUGACGCUGAGGCGCGAAAGUGUGGGGAGCGAACCGG